AUCUAUUUGGUGAAAUCUAAUAAAAUUGGAACAAUACACAGAAUAUUAGCAUGACUCAUUCACAAGAUUACGUGCAUAAAUCAGAAAAUAUAUUAUUAUUA